UACGGAGGGUGCGAGCGUUGUCCGGAAUUACUGGGCGUAAAGGGCGCGUAGGCGGCCUUCUAAGUCGAACGUGAAAUCCCCGGGCUCAACCCGGGAACUGCGUCCGAUACUGGAAGGCUUGAAUCCGGGAGAGGGAUGUGGAAUUCCAGGUGUAGCGGUGAAAUGCGUAGAUAUCUGGAGGAACACCGGUGGCGAAGGCGACAUCCUGGACCGGUAUUGACGCUGAGGUGCGAAAGCCAGGGGAGCAAACGGG
rnacentral:rRNA from 1 species